rnacentral:lncRNA from 1 species
CCCCCCGGACCUGGGACACUGUGCCUUGGUAAUCACUGGUGGUCCUGGUGUGGAGCUUGAUGGUGGCUUGGGUUCGUAGGUCGCGGCAGUGUGUCCUAACCCAGGGCUUCCUGGGUGGGGCCCCUGCCUUGAGUCGCUGGCGGCACACUUGCUACAGGCUUGGAAUAGGGGGCCCUUAGGUACCUGCGCCUGCCCGGCUCUCGUUGGGAGUCUGUGUGCGUUUCAGCUAUAGUGUUGGGGGUUGGUUCCCU